rnacentral:rRNA from 1 species
UGCAAGUCGAACGGUAACAGGAAGCAGCUUGCUGCUUCGCUGACGAGUGGCGGACGGGUGAGUAAUGUCUGGGAAACUGCCUGAUGGAGGGGGAUAACUACUGGAAACGGUAGCUAAUACCGCAUAACGUCGCAAGACCAAAGAGGGGGACCCUCGGGCCUCUUGCCAUCGGAUGUGCCCAGAUGGGAUUAGCUUGUUGGUGGGGUAACGGCUCACCAAGGCGACGAUCCCUAGCUGGUCUGAGAGGAUGACCAGCCACACUGGAACUGAGACACGGUCC